GAUGAACGCUAGCGGCAGGCCUAAUACAUGCAAGUCGAACGGUGUCUUCGGACAUAGUGGCGCACGGGUGCGUAACACGUAUGCAACCUACCUUACAUUGGGGGAUAGCCUUUCGAAAGGGAGAUUAAUACCGCAUAAGACAGUAGCUGGGCAUCCAGCAGCUGUUAAAGAUUUAUCGAUGUAAGCUGGGCAUGCGUCCAAUUAGCUAGUUGGUGAGGUAACGGCUCACCAAGGCAAUGAUUGGUAGGGGAACUGAGAGGUCAAUCCCCCACACGGACACUGAGUUACGGGCAAGACUCCUGCGGGAGGCAGCAGUAGGGAAUAUUGGGCAAUGGACGCAAGUCUGACCCAGCCAUGCCGCGUGCAGGAUGAAGGCGUUAUGCGUUGUAAACUGCUUUUAUACAGGAAGAAACGACUCUUGCGAGAGGCAUUGACGGUACUGUAUGAAUAAGCACCGGCUAACUCCGUGCCAGCAGCCGCCGUAACAC
rnacentral:rRNA from 1 species